CCCUUAGAUGUUCUGGGCCGCACACGCGCUACACUGAAGGAGGCAGCGUGUACUCCUGGAUCGAAAGAUUUGGGUAACCCGCGAAUCUCCUUCGUGCUAGGGAUUGAGGUUUGCAAUUAUCCUUCAUGAACGAGGAAUUCCCAGUAAGUGCAAGUCAUAAGCUUGCGCUGACUACGUCCCUGCCCUUUGUACACACCGCCCGUCGCUACUACCGAUUGAAUGAUCUAGUGAGGACUUCGGACUGGGACCGAUGCGGCUUUCGGGCUGCGUCGGUAUUCUGGAAAGAUGUCCAAACUGUAUCAUUUAGAGGAAGUAAAAGUCGUAACA
rnacentral:rRNA from 1 species